UAAGGAUCUUAGUGGCGGACGGGUGAGUAACGCGUGGGUAACCUGCCCUGUACAGGGGGACAACACUUAGAAAUAGGUGCUAAUACCGCAUAACGGGGGGAGCCGCAUGGCACCCCCCUGAAAACUCCGGUGGUACAGGAUGGGCCCGCGUCUGAUUAGCUGGUUGGCAGGGUAACGGCCUACCAAGGCGACGAUCAGUAGCCGGCCUGAGAGGGCGGACGGCCACACUGGGACUGAGACACGGCCCAGACUCCUACGGAAGGCAGCAG
rnacentral:rRNA from 1 species